UGCUUUGCACAGUGGCAAUAUCGUAGCCAAUGAAGUUUAUCCGAGGCACGAUUAUUGCUAAUAGAAACAAACAAAAACCCAGCUAUUAUUAUUCCUUAUUGUCAUCUAAUCUAUGUUCAUCUCUCAAUUAA
rnacentral:snRNA from 10 species